GAUGAACGCUGGCGGCGUGCCUAAUACAUGCAAGUCGAGCGAACAGACAAGGAGCUUGCUCCUUUGACGUUAGCGGCGGACGGGUGAGUAACACGUGGGUAACCUACCUAUAAGACUGGGAUAACUUCGGGAAACCGGAGCUAAUACCGGAUAAUAUUUCGAACCGCAUGGUUCGAUAGUGAAAGAUGGUUUUGCUAUCACUUAUAGAUGGACCCGCGCCGUAUUAGCUAGUUGGUAAGGUAACGGCUUACCAAGGCGACGAUACGUAGCCGACCUGAGAGGGUGAUCGGCCACACUGGAACUGAGACACGGUCCAGACUCCUACGGGAGGCAGCAGUAGGGAAUCUUCCGCAAUGGGCGAAAGCCUGACGGAGCAACGCCGCGUGAGUGAUGAAGGUCUUCGGAUCGUAAAACUCUGUUAGUAGGGAAGAACAUACGUGUAAGUAACUAUGCACGUCUUGACGGUACCUAAUCAGAAAGCCACGGCUAACUACGUGCCAGCAGCCGCGGUAAUACGUAGGUGGCAAGCGUUAUCCGGAAUUAUUGGGCGUAAAGCGCGCGUAGGCGGUUUUUUAAGUCUGAUGUGAAAGCCCACGGCUCAACCGUGGAGGGUCAUUGGAAACUGGAAAACUUGAGUGCAGAAGAGGAAAGUGGAAUUCCAUGUGUAGCGGUGAAAUGCGCAGAGAUAUGGAGGAACACCAGUGGCGAAGGCGACUUUCUGGUCCGUAACUGACGCUGAUGUGCGAAAGCGUGGGGAUCAAACAGGAUUAGAUACCCUGGUAGUCCACGCCGUAAACGAUGAGUGCUAAGUGUUAGGGGGUUUCCGCCCCUUAGUGCUGCAGCUAACGCAUUAAGCACUCCGCCUGGGGAGUACGACCGCAAGGUUGAAACUCAAAGGAAUUGACGGGGACCCGCACAAGCGGUGGAGCAUGUGGUUUAAUUCGAAGCAACGCGAAGAACCUUACCAAAUCUUGACAUCCUUUGACAACUCUAGAGAUAGAGCCUUCCCCUUCGGGGGACAAAGUGACAGGUGGUGCAUGGUUGUCGUCAGCUCGUGUCGUGAGAUGUUGGGUUAAGUCCCGCAACGAGCGCAACCCUUAAGCUUAGUUGCCAUCAUUAAGUUGGGCACUCUAAGUUGACUGCCGGUGACAAACCGGAGGAAGGUGGGGAUGACGUCAAAUCAUCAUGCCCCUUAUGAUUUGGGCUACACACGUGCUACAAUGGACAAUACAAAGGGCAGCGAAAUCGCGAGGUCAAGCAAAUCCCAUAAAGUUGUUCUCAGUUCGGAUUGUAGUCUGCAACUCGACUACAUGAAGCUGGAAUCGCUAGUAAUCGUAGAUCAGCAUGCUACGGUGAAUACGUUCCCGGGUCU
rnacentral:rRNA from 1 species